AAUUUUUGACAAUGGACGCAAGUCUGAACCAGCCACGUCGCGUGAAGGAAGACGGACAUACGGAUUGUAAACUUCUUUUGUAAGGGCAUAAAGUGAGUCACGUGUGACUUUUUGCAUGUACCUUACGAAUAAGGAUCGGCUAACUGCGUGCCAGCAGCCGCGGUAAUACGGAGGAUCCGAGCGUUAUCCGGAUUUAUUGGGUUUAAAGGGUGCGCAGGCGGGAGAUUAAGUCGGCGGUGAAAUUUUGCAGCUCAACUGUAAAAGUGCCUUCGAAACUGGUUUCCUUGAGUGUAGAUGAAGUAGGCGGAAUUUGUGGUGUAGCGGUGAAAUGCAUAGAUAUCACGAGGAACUCCGAUUGCGCAGGCAGCUUACUAAGCUACUACUGACGCUCAGGCACGAAGGCGUGGGGAUCAAACAGG
rnacentral:rRNA from 1 species